GGGGAAAUGGGGGGGGUGCUACACAUGCAAGUCGAACGGGAAUCUUCGGAUUCUAGUGGCGGACGGGUGAGUAACGCGUAAGAAUCUAACUUCAGGACGGGGACAACAGUUGGAAACGACUGCUAAUACCCGAUGUGCCGCAAGGUGAAACCUAAUUGGCCUGGAGAAGAGCUUGCGUCUGAUUAGCUAGUUGGUGGGGUAAGAGCCUACCAAGGCGACGAUCAGUAGCUGGUCUGAGAGGAUGAGCAGCCACACUGGGACUGAGACACGGCCCAGACUCCUACGGGAGGCAGCAGUGGGGAAUUUUCCGCAAUGGGCGAAAGCCUGACGGAGCAACGCCGCGUGAGGGAGGAAGGUCUUUGGAUUGUAAACCUCUUUUCUCAAGGAAGAAGUUCUGACGGUACUUGAGGAAUCAGCCUCGGCUAACUCCGUGCCAGCAGCCGCGGUAAUACGGGGGAGGCAAGCGUUAUCCGGAAUUAUUGGGCGUAAAGCGUCCGCAGGUGGUCAGCCAAGUCUGCCGUCAAAUCAGGUUGCUUAACGACCUAAAGGCGGUGGAAACUGGCAGACUAGAGAGCAGUAGGGGUAGCAGGAAUUCCCAGUGUAGCGGUGAAAUGCGUAGAGAUUGGGAAGAACAUCGGUGGCGAAAGCGUGCUACUGGGCUGUAUCUGACACUCAGGGACGAAAGCUAGGGGAGCGAAAGGGAUUAGAUACCCCUGUAGUCCUAGCCGUAAACGAUGGAUACUAGGCGUGGCUUGUAUCGACCCGAGCCGUGCCGAAGCUAACGCGUUAAGUAUCCCGCCUGGGGAGUACGCACGCAAGUGUGAAACUCAAAGGAAUUGACGGGGGCCCGCACAAGCGGUGGAGUAUGUGGUUUAAUUCGAUGCAACGCGAAGAACCUUACCAAGACUUGACAUGUCGCGAACCCUGGUGAAAGCUGGGGGUGCCUUCGGGAGCGCGAACACAGGGUGGUGCAUGGCCUGUCGUCAGCUUCGUGUCGUUGAGAUGUUGGGGUUAAGGUCCCGCAACGAAGCGCAACCCUCGGUC
rnacentral:rRNA from 1 species